rnacentral:rRNA from 1 species
UACGGAGGGUGCAAACGUUGCUCGGAAUCAUUGGGCGUAAAGCGCACGUAGGCGGCCUGUUAAGUCGGAUGUGAAAGCCCCGGGCUCAACCCGGGAAGUGCAUUCGAAACUGGCGGGCUUGAAUAUGGAAGAGGGUCGCGGAAUUCCCGGUGUAGAGGUGAAAUUCGUAGAUAUCUGGAGGAACACCGGUGGCGAAGGCGGCAUCCUGGACCGGUAUUGACGCUGAGGCGCGAAAGCUAGGGGAGCAAACGGG